GUCAGGAUUAAGCAAUGGAGGAGGAAAGCAUGGUUGUCAUCCCAGGGUUUCAUCUGUAAACAUCUGCUGUAUUUGGUCUUAGAUGGCAUCGUCGAUGUCUCAGCUGAUGGUUUCUGACUCUCCUCCUGCUGAACCUCCGAGUCUCCUACAGAUCACAACUGCAAACACGUCGUCUGCACUAAUGUGACUCCGCAGAGCCUUCAGAGCUCAGCUGAUCCUGCACACACGUCGUCUGGACUCACAUCUUCACUAAUCUGACUUCGACA